rnacentral:rRNA from 1 species
UACAGAGGGGGCAAGCGUUGUUCGGAAUUACUGGGCGUAAAGGGCGCGUAGGCGGCCUGCUAAGUCGAACGUGAAAUCCCCGGGCUCAACCCGGGAACUGCGUCCGAUACUGGCAGGCUUGAAUUCGGGAGAGGGAUGCGGAAUUCCAGGUGUAGCGGUGAAAUGCGUAGAUAUCUGGAGGAAUACCGGUGGCGAAGGCGGCAUCCUGGACCGACAUUGACGCUGAGGAGCGAAAGCUAGGGGAGCAAACGGG